rnacentral:rRNA from 1 species
GAUGAACGCUAGCGGCAGGCUUAAUACAUGCAAGUCGAGGGACAGCACAGGUAGCAAUACUGGGUGGUAACCGGCAAACGGGUGCGGAACACGUACACAACCUUCCUUUAAGUGGGGGAUAGCCCAGAGAAAUUUGGAUUAAUACCACGUAAUAUAGUUGAAUGGCAUCAUUUGAUUAUUAUAGCUACGUUGCUUAAUGAUGGGUGUGCGGCUGAUUAGAUAGUUGGCGGGGUAACGGCCCACCAAGUCUACGAUCAGUAGCUGAUGUGAGAGCAUGAUCAGCCACACGGGCACUGAGACACGGGCCCGACUCCUACGGGAGGCAGCAGUAAGGAAUAUUGGUCAAUGGACGCAAGUCUGAACCAGCCAUGCCGCGUGAAGGAUUAAGGUCCUCUGGAUUGUAAACUUCUUUUAUUUGGGACGAAAAAGGGCCUUUCUAGGUCAACUGACGGUACCAGAUGAAUAAGCACCGGCUAACUCCGUGCCAACCGCCGCCGUAACAC